UCAAAAUUAGUUCGGAAGAGAAAACUCAUCUACAUCUUCGAUUGCCUGAGAGUGAGUAAAGUGUCAACAAAUGUUCAUUUAAGGAUGAACUACUUUAAGAUAUUGUGCUACUACAGUAAAUAUAAUAUUGCAAUAAGUGUAUGAUGUGCUUGUAAGGAAAAAAUUAUGCAACUACUUCCAAUAGGGCUGUAGUGUUGUGCGAUUCCUGAGUUAAUAUUUAUAUUCUUUGGAGAUGAUUUAUCAAGAAGAGUAAAUUAAAUGAUUUGAUGGCAUUUCAGUGAAUAAACUAUUUAUGGUUUUUAGGUACAUUCCUAUUAUAAAGAGCAUUUCUAUACAAAUAUAACACAUUUCAUUUUCUUCUGUAUUAAUGACUUCUUUUUAUAAUGAUAAAAAUUCACCCAAAUGGCGAUUAGUUUGACUUGCAAAGCCACAUUUGACAUGCUGUUUGCCAUUGAUUGUGCUUUGUUAGUGGCUCCGCAGAGUAAAUGGAAUAUUUGACUGUGAAAUGGAACAUUAGAGGCUCAGGUGCCGUUUCCUCGCCCCUGUUGAAUGAUGUCAUGUAGCAAACAUGCUGAACACAGCUAAGCUUAAGAAAGACAGAACUAAAUGUCUCUCAGUUCAGCAAAUAAAAUUAUUUUUGGAAGUUAAA